GGGAGGUCUCCUCUCCCCAGGUGUUGAGCGACAGCUUCUUUCCAGUCAACCUGGAAAAUGUACACUCGGAUUUCAAGGGAGAGGAAAUAUUAAGUGUUUUCUCCUCAAACUUGGCAUUAUCUCUUUAGCAGGCAGGCCUCUUUCCCUCUGAGAAAUUAUUAUUACAAUAAUUUCCCGUUGUGUUGAAUCAAACUUUAUCUUGAACUCUGCUUCCCCAUUCUAAUAAUAACGAGUGUGGCUUCAUGAGUGAUUCAUUCCCUCAAUGCCAUUGAUUGGGAUUUUACAGGACUUCAAAGAGUCGGAGGCAGAUAACGGCACAGGGACUAAAGUGGGUCGCUGAGAUCCUGACGUCAGAGACCCAAAUUUUAAAGGUUUCUGUGUCCCUGUCCACGAUGUGCUGAGGGUACCUGGAGCUGCUGCUGUUCCCAGAGGGUGGAAAGUGUGUAGAGGUUGAAAGUUUAGGAG